CGGUAGCUCAGCUGGUAGAGCAAAGGACUGAAAAUCCUUGUGUCGGUGGUUCGACUCCGCCCCG
rnacentral:tRNA from 1 species